rnacentral:snRNA from 1 species
GUGCUGCAGCAGCACAUAUACUAAAAUUGGAAUGAUACAGAGAAGAUUAGCAUGGCCCCUGAAUGAGGAUGACACACAAACUUGUGAAGCUUUCCAUACUAAA